GCUGGCGGCACGCCUAACACAUGCAAGUCGAACGAAGUAGCAAUACUUAGUGGCAGACGGGUGAGUAACAUGUAGGUAUCUGCCCUUUGGCCUGGAAUAACACGAGGAAACUUGUGCUAAUACCGGAUAAGUCUUUACGGAGAAAGCUUUAUGCACCAUUGGAUGAGCCUGCACUUGAUUAGUUUGUUGGUGGGGUAAUGGCCUACCAAGACUGUGAUCAAUAGCUGAUUUGAGAGGAUGAUCAGCCACAUUGGGACUGAGACACGGCCCAAACUCCUACGGGAGGCAGCAGUGGGGAAUCUUGCACAAUGGAGGAAACUCUGAUGCAGCGAUGCCGCGUGAGUGAAGAAGGCCUUUGGGUUGUAAAGCUCUUUCGUCGGGGAAGAAAAUGACUGUACCCGAAUAAGAAGGUCCGGCUAACUUCGUGCCAGCAGCCGCGGUAAUACGAAGGGACCUAGCGUAGUUCGGAAUUACUGGGCUUAAAGAGUUCGUAGGUGGUUGAAAAAGUUAGUGGUGAAAUCCCAGAGCUUAACUCUGGAACUGCCAUUAAAACUUUUCAGCUAGAGUAUGAUAGAGGAAAGCAGAAUUUCUAGUGUAGAGGUGAAAUUCGUAGAUAUUAGAAAGAAUACCAAUUGCGAAGGCAGCUUUCUGGAUCAUUACUGACACUGAGGAACCAAAGC
rnacentral:rRNA from 1 species